rnacentral:rRNA from 1 species
AGCCCGGAGGCUUAACACAUGCAAGUCGGAGGGGCAGCGACGGGUAGACAAUACCGUGGUGGCGGACCGGCGCGAAGGGUGCGUAACGCGUGAGCAACAUCGCCCUAUACGAGGGGGAUAAUCCGAGGGAAACUUGGUCUAAUAUCCCAUAGUAUUUAGAGGAGGCAUCUUCUAUAAAUUAAAGCUUCGGUGGUAUAGGAUUGGCUCGCGUGACAUUAGCUAGAUGGUGAGGUAACGGCUCACCAUGGCAAUGAUGUCUAGGGGUUCUGAGAGGAAGGCCCCCCACACUGGGACUGAGACACGGCCCAGACUCCUACGGGAGGCAGCAGUGAGGAAUAUUGGACAAUGGAUGGAAAUCUGAUCCAGCCAUGCCGCGUGCAGGAAGACAGCCCUAUGGGUUGUAAACUGCUUUUAUAUGGGAGCAAUAAGGUCUACGUGUAGACUGAUGAGAGUACCAUAUGAAUAAGCAUCGGCUAACUCCGUG